rnacentral:lncRNA from 7 species
GAUGACUUAGAACCAGGCCAGCAAGGAAUUCAGACAAACGGCCCCAAGCUGCCUCCAUCCCACAUACAUUUCCAUUUUUCACACUCUAUGUGUCUGCAGCAUAGAAGGCUCUUUUCACUCCUACAGUUACGUCUUUACAGUUGCUCCAGGCCUCCAAAUACACCCAGCAUCAAGCUCUCUCUAAUUGUAUAAGAAAUGCUUUCAGUUUUAGGAGCUGAAACCAACUGCCAUUCCUGCUGUGCUCUGCCUGCCCUGCAGCUCCACGCUGGGUUUUGGUUCCAUCUCAAUAUGUGCUCGAGUGCUUUGGUGCCCUUCCAAGACUGCCAGGCUGACUCGCAGCUCCUUAAUAACAUGGUGUCCCCGAGCACUUUGUUUUCAGUUCACGUGAAGAAGUUUGUUUAUAUUGCAGAACUUCAAAGCGUUUGAAUGCAAUUUUGCUUUUCCUUUUAAGGCUGUGGAAGGGAGAGCAAGCCUUCAGCUGCAGCUCCGCUCAUCAGCGGGGAUCUGGAAUUUGGAGAGUCGAAAAAUAGAUGCUCCAAAAAAAGUGCUGCGAGCAAAGCUGCCAGGCCUAUUUCCUGUCAUCAGAAAGCAACCCCCGGCUCUUCCGAGCUCAGCCCAGAAGCUGACGCAGUGCCAGCGGAGCUGCUGCCGUGGUCAGCCCCAAAACGUGCUGAAAUUCCACGUAGGGAAGGAGACAUUACCAGCAACUAUUUACGCUCACAGAAGCCUAUGAAGCAUUUCAGUGUUUAAACCAGGCUGGGCAGAGGAGCUAUGCUUCCAUCACGUGUGCGAUCUGUGAUUUUUCCCUUCCUGUGUGCCAGGCAUGGCUCAUACAGAAAGAGG